UACGGAGGGUGCAAGCGUUAUCCGGAUUCACUGGGUUUAAAGCGUGCGCAGGCGGUUCGUUAUGUCCGAUGUGAAAGCCCCGAGCUCAACUUGGGAAUGGCAUUGGAAACUGGCGGGCUGGAGUGUGGCAGAGGGGGGUGGAAUUCCACGUGUAGCAGUGAAAUGCGUAGAGAUGUGGAGGAACACCGAUGGCGAAGGCAGCCCCCUGGGCCAACACUGACGCUCAGGCACGAAAGCGUGGGGAGCAAACAGG
rnacentral:rRNA from 1 species